ncrna:unclassified sequences eL15-Euryarchaeota ribosomal protein leader
CGGGAUGCGUCCCGCCGGAAUGUGGCUAACAUAGCUGAACCGUGAA